rnacentral:rRNA from 1 species
CUUUAGCCCAACAAGUAUUAAAGGUCACGCCUGCCCAGUGAAACAUUUAAACGGCCGCGGUAUUCUAACCGUGCAAAGGUAGCGUAAUCACUUGUCUUCUAAAUAAAGACCUGUAUGAACGGCUAAAUGAGGACGGACCUGUCUCUUAUAACCAAUCAGUGAAAUUGAUCUACCAGUACAAAAGCUGGUAUAACCACAUAAGACGAGAAGACCCUGUGGAGCUUAAGACCAAACACUAACCCACCAGCGCUAGUGCGACGUCUUGAGUUGGGGCGACUUCGGAACAAAACAGAACUUCCGAGCAGGGGCCCACCAGCCCCUCCCAAGGCCAACAAGCCAAAGCAUAAAAUGACCCGGCCCAUGCCGACCAGCGAACCAAGUUACCCCAGGGAUAACAGCGCCAUCUUCUUCAAGAGUCCCUAUCGACAAGAAGGUUUACGACCUCGAUGUUGGAUCAGGACACCCCGGUGGUGCAGCCGCUACCAAAGGUUCGUUUGUUCAACGAUUAACAGUCCUACGUGAUCUGAGUUCAGACCGGAGAAAUCCAGGUCGGUUUCU